rnacentral:rRNA from 1 species
GACGAACGCUGGCGGCGUGCCUAAUACAUGCAAGUAGAACGCACAGUUUAUACCGUAGCUUGCUACACCAUAGACUGUGAGUUGCGAACGGGUGAGUAACGCGUAGGUAACCUGCCUGGUAGCGGGGGAUAACUAUUGGAAACGAUAGCUAAUACCGCAUAAUAUUAAUUAUUGCAUGAUAAUUAAUUGAAAGGUGCAAUUGCACCACUACCAGAUGGACCUGCGUUGUAUUAGCUAGUAGGUGAGGUAACGGCUCACCUAGGCGACGAUACAUAGCCGACCUGAGAGGGGGAUCGGCCACACUGGGACUGGGACACGGCCCAGACUCCUACGGGAGGCAGCAGUAGGGAAUCUUCGGCAAUGGACGAAAGGCUGAACGAGCAACGCCGCGUGAGUGAAGAAGGGUUUCGGAUCGGAAAGCUCUGUUGUAAGAGAAGAACGGGUGUGAGAGUGGAAAGUUCACACUGUGACGGUAUCUUACCAGAAAGGGACGGCUAACUACGUG